UAGGCCGAACACAGAAACAGACAAACUAGACACACAACAUAGAAUUCCCACCCAGCUCACGUCCUGACCAACACUAAAACAAGCAAAACACACAAGAACUAUGGUCAGAACGUGACACUGACACCUAACUCAAAGUCCUCCUGACUUCAGAGUCUGGAAAGGCUGGGUUGAUGUUGUCGCCAAGAUGCGUUGAUGAUGAAUGGGGCUAACUCGUCAACAGCCGAAACAGUUCCUCCGCCGAGAAGACGAGAGAAUGAUCAAAUCAUCAAAUUUUAAAGGAGGGGUGCGUCACUUGAGUGGGUUGAGUCACUGACGUGAUCUUCCUGUCCGGGUUCGUGCCGUGGGGGAGAUCUUCGUGGGCUAUACUCGGCCUUGUCUCAGGAUGAACGAUGGAGGCCACUGUGUUCUUGGGAACUUUCAGUGCUGCAGAAAUGGUUUUGGUCCCGUUCCCCAGAUCUGUGCCUCGACACAAUCCUGUCUCGGAGCUCUACGGACAAUUCCUUGGACCUCUUGGCUUGGUUUUUUUGCUCUGACAUGCACUGUCAACUGUGGGACCUUAUGUAGACAGGUGUGUGCCUUUCCAAAUCAUGUCAAAUCAAUUGAUUUUACCACAGGUGGACUCCAAUCAAGUUGUAGAACCAUCUCAAGGAUGAUCAAUGGAAACAGGAUGCACCUGAGCUCAAUUUCGAGUCUCAUCGUAAAGGGUCUGAAUACUUAUGUCAAUAACGUAUUUCUGUUUGUUUUGAAAAUAAAUUUGCUAACAUUUCUA